rnacentral:lncRNA from 10 species
UAAUGAAAUAGGCUGGGCACGGUGGCUCACACCUGUAAUCCCAGCACUUUGGAAGACCGAGGUGAGCAGAUCGUGAUGUUAGGAGAUCGAGACUUUCAUGUGCGCCCGUGUGAAGAGAUCACCAAACAGGCUUUGUGUGAGCAACGUGGCUGUUUAUUUCACCUGGGUGCAGGUGGGCUGAGUCCGAAAAGAAAGUCAGCGAAGGGAGAUGGGGUGGGGCUGUUUUAUCAGAUUUGGGAAGGUAAUGGAAAAUUACAGCCAAAGGGGGUUGUUCUCUGGUGGGCAGGGGCGGGGGUCACAAGGUGCUCAGUGGGGGAGCUUCUGAGCCAGGAGAAGGAAAUUCACAGGGUUAAUCACUCAGUUAAGGUGGGGCAGGAACAAAUCACAAUGGUGGAAUGUCAUCAGUUAAGGCAGGGCAGGGCCUUUUCACUUCUUUUGUGAUUCUUCAGUUACUUCAGGCCAUCUGGGCAUAUACGUGCAAGUCACAGGGGAUGCGAUGGCUUGGCUUGGGCUCAGAGGCCUGACAUUCCUGCCUUCUUAUAUUAAUAAGAAAAAUAAAAUAGUGUUGAAGUGUUGGGGUGGCGAAAAUUUUUGGGGGUGGUGCGGAGAGAGAAUGGGCGAUGUUUCUCAGUGCUGCUUCAAGCGGGAUUAGGGGCGGCGUGGGAACCUAGAGUGGGAGAGAUUAAGCUGAAGGGAGGUCUUGUGGUAAGGGGUGACAUUGAGGGGGUUGUUAGAAGAAACAUUUGUCAUACAGAAAGAUUGGUGAUGGCCUGGAUACGGUUUUGUAUGAACUGAAAAACUAAAUGGAAUAAGAGAAGGAGAAAAACAGGUAUAAAUGGUUUAAGAAUUGGGAGGACCUAGGACAUCUGAUUAGAGAGUGCUUAGGAGAUUCAGCAUAGUCCUGCCAGCAAAGAUUAUUUAUUUACUUCAAGAGUAGAAGUUUGGGGAUAGCACCAGGAGAUAUCAGCUGUGAUGGCUUGGAGAAACAGUGUAAACCAGCAGUGUAAACAAGAGUAGGGCAUGUAUGAGUAGUUGAGAACGGUGAAUAGGAGUAUGACUAGACAGAAGAUAGUAGGGAUGACAAGUUUUUUGGGGCACAGUCUAAGUUGGUCUGGCGUCUGGAAUGAGACUGGGGCCUAAUAAAAAGGAGCAUCUAUGCAGGAGCUUAAAUGGGCUGUACCUGGUAGCAUUCUGAGGACAGGUCUCACUUCUCAGAAGGGAAAGUGGUAAAAGUAUUGUCCAGUCCUUUUUAAGUUGGUGGCUGAGCUUGGUGAGGUGUGUUUUUAAAAGACCUUUAGUCUGUCACUGAAAACUAAGAGCCUGAUAAAAUGCUUGGCUGAUUUGACUAAUAAAGGCUGGUCUGUUAUCAGACUGUAUAGAGGUGGGAAGGCUAAACUGAGGAAUUAUGUCUGACAGAAGGGAAGAAAUGACUGCGGUGGCCUUCUCAGACCCUGUAGGAAAGGCCUCUACCUAUCUAGUGAAAGUGUCUACUUAGACUAAGAGGUAUUUUAGUUUUUGUGACUCAGGGCAUGUUGAGUAAAGCUAAUUUGCCAGUCCUGGGCGGGGGCAAAUCCUCGAGCUUGAUGUGUAGGGAAGGGAGGGGGCCUGAAUAAUCCUUGAGGAGUAGUAGAAUAGCAGAUAGAAUAGCAGAUGGAACACUGAGAAGUUAUUUCCUUGAGGAUAGAUUUCCAUGAUGUAAAGGAAAUGAGAGGUUCUAAGAGGCGGGCUAGUGGUUUGUACUAUAGCAUAGCCUGCCUUUGCUGGUGUGUGGUGAUUAGGCCCGGUGGAACUGCCAUCAAUAAAUCAAGCGUGAUCAGGGUGAGAAACAGGGAAGAAGGAAAUGUGGGGAAAUGGGAUGAACAUCAGGUGGAUCAGAGAGAUACAGUCAUGACGGUCAGGUGUGGUAUCUGGAAUAAUGUGGGAGGCGGGAUUGAAGUCCGGGCCAGGAACAAUGGUAAUUGUGGGACUUAACGAAGAGAGUACAGCUGAAGGAGCCAGGGAGCAGAAAGUAUACGUGUCAGUUUCAGAUUCACCCAGAUGCCUUGGAUAAUUUGUUUUGGAAAACAUAUAUUGAAGAUAUCAGAGCCACAGUAUGACAGAAGACUAGGUCCCAGAAUCACAACUGGAAGGAAAGUCAUGCACUAAUGAAGAAAACAAUUCUUAAGGCUUAUAUGAGCUGAAAACAAACUUCUGUCAUGUUGCUGCCUUUAUCCAUUUUUAAAAGAUGUUUGUCAUCAGUAGUGCUACUCUAAUAAAAUACAUCAUGAGCACAAUAACUUAAACUGGUCUCAUUAUAAAUCCUAGAUCUCCUAUCAUCACAGUUUAAAUCCAGACUACUGGUGUGGAAAGGUAUAUAAAUGCCUUCCAGAAUCUGAAAGGCAUAAUUUUGUUCACUUAUUUCAGGUUUUACUAAGGAUUCCAUACCCUUGGCUUCUGUUGAAUUAUUUC